UCGACGAUGAAUCUUCUAGCUUGCUAGAAGUGGAUUAGUGGCGCACGGGUGAGUAAUGCAUAGGUUAUGUGCCCUUUAGUCUGGGAUAGCCACUGGAAACGGUGAUUAAUACUGGAUACUCCCUACGGGGGAAAGUUUUUCGCUAAAGGAUCAGCCUAUGUCCUAUCAGCUUGUUGGUGAGGUAAUGGCUCACCAAGGCUAUGACGGGUAUCCGGCCUGAGAGGGUGAUCGGACACACUGGAACUGAGACACGGUCCAGACUCCUACGGGAGGCAGCAGUAGGGAAUAUUGCUCAAUGGGGGAAACCCUGAAGCAGCAACGCCGCGUGGAGGAUGAAGGUUUUAGGAUUGUAAACUCCUUUUGUUAGAGAAGAUUAUGACGGUAUCUAACGAAUAAGCACCGGCUAACUCCGUGCCAGCAGCCGCGGUAAUACGGAGGGUGCAAGCGUUACUCGAAUCACUGGGCGUAAAGAGUGCGUAGGCGGGGUAAUAAGUCAGAUGUGAAAUCCUGUAGCUUAACUACAGAACUGCAUUUGAAACUGUUACUCUGGAGUGUGGGAGAGGUAGGUGGAAUUCUUGGUGUAGGGGUAAAAUCCGUAGAGAUCAAGAGGAAUACUCAUUGCGAAGGCGACCUGCUGGAACAUUACUGACGCUGAUGCACGAAAGCGUGGGGAGCAAACAGGAUUAGAUACCCUGGUAGUCCACGCCCUAAACGAUGGAUGCUAGUUGUUGCCUUGCUUGUCAGGGCAGUAAUGCAGCUAACGCAUUAAGCAUCCCGCCUGGGGAGUACGGUCGCAAGAUUAAAACUCAAAGGAAUAGACGGGGACCCGCACAAGCGGUGGAGCAUGUGGUUUAAUUCGAAGAUACGCGAAGAACCUUACCUAGGCUUGACAUUGAU
rnacentral:rRNA from 1 species